CGGGACGGGUGAGUAAUGCUUGGGAAUCUGGCUUAUGGAGGGGGAUAACUACGGGAAACUGUAGCUAAUACCGCGUAAUAUCGAAAGAUUAAAGUGUGGGACCUUCGGGCCACAUGCCAUGGGAUGAGCCCAAGUGGGAUUAGGUAGUUGGUGGGGUAAAGGCCUACCAAGCCUGCGAUCUCUAGCUGAUCUGAGAGGAUGGCCAGCCACACUGGAACUGAGACACGGUCCAG
rnacentral:rRNA from 1 species